UCUCUCAUACAUGGGCUUUAAAGCUUUCGUAAAAAAAGCUUUAUACAACACUUGAUCCCUUUUUGCUCUUUUGUUCUUCUGUUGUGUGAAGAUACAGUAAGAAGGCACCAUCUUGGAAACAGAGAAAUACCAAUGACAGUGCAUUGAUCUUGUGUUUUUCAGCCUCUACAACUGUAAGGAACAAAUCUCUGGAUUUUAUAAUUAGCCAGUACCAGGCAUCUUGUUAUAGAAGCACAAAAGGAUUAAGACCAUGCCUGUGAUUCAUCCGGGUAAGUUCGUGUUGUCCUGACUCUGGAUAAUCUGAAGAAGGAUCCACCGUUGUAUCUUGAGCGGCCUUUUCAUGAUCAAGAACCACCAUCUUAGCACGUUCGUUCAUGUUGAUUUUCCUCCGAAGCUUUACUUCCUGACAAAGCUGUGUGAAAAUCAAAUUCUCAAAUUAAACUUUAUUUUUGUAA